UCUGGUUUGCUCUCCACUAUGUGCUGAAUCUUGUAUAUGCCCAAGAAAGUCAAGCAUUGCUGGAGUUCCUGCAGAGGACAUUUCUCGGGAUAAACCCUGACCGGGGUUCAAGAGCAGAGAAGAGGCAGCGCACGCCUGUCAAUAAAAAGGUGCUGCGACUCGUCGACAAGCUGUCGCACUUUGAGUGGCAUGUUUAACACUUGUUUUUUCCACUGUUCCAUCAGCGACUGGGCGAACAUAGGGCACAUGGCCACUCUUAUGCUGCGUUUUUUGAAGUUUUUUUCACUGUUCCAUCAGCGAGUGGGCGAACAUAGGGCACAUGGCCACUCUUAUGCUCCGUUUUUUGAAGUUUUUUCCACUGUUCCAUCAGCGACUGGGCGAACAUAGGGCACAUGGCCACUCUUAUGCUGCGUUUUUUGAAGUUUUUUCCACUGUUCCAUCAGCGACUGGGCGAACAUAGGGCACAUGGCCACUCUUAUGCUGCGUUUUUUGAAGUUUUUUCCACCUUUUCCAUCAGCGACUGGGCGAACAUAGGGCACAUGGCCACUCUUAUGCUGCG